GAUUGGAAAUUAAAUCUGCUAGAUGUUUCUGGUUGAAUCCAACAUGCAGUUUCAUGGAAACCAACUGGCCAUAUGGUGUAGAAACAUGGACAUGAAUGGUAAUUCUAUGCCUUUUAAUCUUGUUCAUGUUUUGUUAAAUAGAAGAUGCCUGUUGGACUAAGAAGGCAUUAAAUUGGUCUUUUUGGUUAAAACAUUAACACCACAAGCACAACUUUUCAGUUAAAUACAUGUGUAAAAUAUUUUGAGGCUGAUGGAUCAACAGCUCUGAUUUGAAAUGUGGACAGUGGAUGUGUGAAUUGUGUUGAACUUGCCACCACAUUAGUUUCUGUUCAGAUUCAGGUUGCACCUGAAGCAUUAAUGUGUUUUUUUUUUUUGUUUUUUUUUUUAUGGUACUAAAGUUUUCUCUUUAUGCAAUUAUUUACAAAAAUGGAAGUUUUAUUGAAGCUAUAGACAAAAUAAUUGACCAGAUAAAUGUUAUCAUAUUUCACAUUUAAAGGUUAUUUGGAAAACUGCAGCAGGUUUUGUUUUCCAGAGAAAGUCUUUUUCACUCUAAUUCUGUGGCCUGUGAACGUCGAUGACGUCACAAAGCUCUAGAAUGUAGCCCGUUUUCGCUGCAGAAUCUUUAAUUUCUACAGAAUCUCACACAGACCUUCGGGUAAGAGAUUUCUGCUCAGAUUUCAUUCAACAAAACGUGGAAAUGCCUUUAAAAUGUUCUCUAAAAUCUGAAAUCUUUCGUUGUCGGAUUCGGAAUAAACUUAAAAAUCCUCCUCCGCUAUUUAUUGUUUCCUCUGAUGGAUUAUUUAUCCGCUGGGUUCGAGGUUUUCUAGCGCUUUUAACUUCAGGCAUUAAUUUAGGUUUAGUUUAGGGAUUUUUACUGGGACUAAAACUCCACCCGUUUCAUCCAAACUCCGGAGGGAGGAAAACAUUUUCUCACUGAAAGCUUAGGGACCGUCACUAAAGUUCAGCACGAAAGAACCGCGUGAAAAGCGUCAUCAUAUAAACAACUAGAAACAUAGAAACUGUUUCUUUCCAGAGAUAGAUAAAAGUUUCUGAACGUGAUGUGUGAACACGAGCUGACAAAAAGCACAGAGGUUUCUUCACCUCAGCAUGAAGAAGGAGCUGAUCAUCAUCCCUGCAGGACAGCUUUAACUGAGAAUGAGACUCCAGGGAUGUCGAGCACCCUGCGCUAUGAUGUUCAGUCCGAUGAUGAGUCUGACGAACCCGUAAUGUUUCCUGGCCCUCUGUUAAGUCUUAAGCUGCAGAAGGAAGAUCUGAUCAGAUUUAUCCGGUGGAAAUGUCAGGAGUGUCUGCUAGACCAGGAUGUACCUGAGGAAACCUAUUUUUUCUGGCUGAUUAUGGAACACUGCUGUAAUAAGAAUGGGAGAGUAAUGAUGGCUGAAAUCUCCACACUGCUCUUCAGAGGCUACGCCAGUCUGAGGAGACAACAGGGACGUGCUAGGAGAAUAGGAAGUGAGGACUGGUGUCUUCCUCUGGCCUUGCUUUUGUCCUCAUCUGAUCCAGAAGAUGAACACAGAGAAGCCAUUAUUAAAAUGGGAGAUAAUUUAGCCUCCAAUAGAUGGAUCUAUGCAGCACAUAUCUGCUACUUGGCGGCACAAAUGGAGCUUGGAUCACGGCAACAAUUUAAACUGAUUGGAACCGAAAGUUGGCCAAAUGAUAGAUCAGCCAUGAGGGAGGUGAUGGAGAGAACUGAGGUCUAUGAGUACGUGUUGUCUCUGACCUCAGGGUUCGGCCAGCCGUACUUCCAGCACUUCAAGUACCUUUACACCCGUGAGCUAGCUAAGGUUGGUCUUACUGAUGAGGUGUAUAAUUACUGCCAGAGCUUGGCUGCUGUGAUCUUCACAUUACCUCACUGCUUCAAAACCGUCUAUGUGGAGCGGAUUAUAAGGCUGUGUGAGUUGCUGCUUCAAAAUGAGGAGAAAAAACCUAAUUGGCUGCGGAAACUUUACAAGCUGCACAGAGAGAAAACAGCUAGUGCUGACCCUUUUACUGAAAUGUUACAAGUCAGAGCACGUUUAUCUACAGAUCCGAAGUCCAAACAGGAACUCGAGUCACGUUACAUUAUUGGAAGUCCGCUGGGCAGCGGAGGCUUCGGCUCUGUGCUCUCUGGAAUGAGUAAAGUGGACGGGAGGCUGGUUGCCAUUAAAUAUGUGACCAAAUACAAUCAGUACAUCACUAUCCCCGGACAGACACGCAAACUGUUUAAGGAGAUCGCGUUAUUGGAGAUAGUGUCUAAGCCUCCUGUCUGUGAGAACGUAGUGGAGAUGAUUGAAUGGUUCGAGACGCCCACCUCUUUCAUCUUGGUGCUGGAACAACCCAUCCCCUGCAUGGACCUCCUCAAAUUUGGUAAAAUUUAUAGAAGCCAAUUGUCUGAAGCAUUGUGUCAGAUGAUCAUGAGGCAGGUAGUUCGGGCUGCUAAGCACUGCUGUGAUCGUGGAGUUUUUCACCGCGACAUCAAAAGUGAUAAUAUUAUCAUCAAUCCGGACACCCUGGAAGUGAAGCUGAUCGACUUUGGCUGUGGUGAUUUGAUGAAGGACGAUCUGUACAACAGUUAUUCUGGAACUCCGGUUUUCUGCCCUCCUGAGUGGGUUCUCUUCAGUCAGUAUUUUGCGGUUCCUGCUACUGUCUGGAGUCUGGGUAUAGUCCUGUAUGAGUUGGUCAGUGGAGACCUGCCGUUUUACUGCGAUGAGGAGAUUAUUGACUCAUUUGUGCCAUUCGUCCGUGGUCUGUCUAAAGAGUGCUACAACCUGCUCAUGUGGUGUCUGGAUCUGAUCCCUGAAGAUCGGCCAACUCUGCAAGAAAUCCUGAGCCAUGACUGGUUAAAGGAGGAGAUUCAGUUUGGAGACCAGUCGUUAACAACCAUGCUACAGUCACAUCGGGCAAGUUAAUUCCACCCUCCACAAAAAUGGCCAAACGAUAGAUGGACAAUAGGAGCUUUCAAGACAGGCCCCUACUGAUGGCCAGGAUCUGGAUACUUCAUCAACACAAAUCUAAAAAAGAAAUCUAUCCAUAAAAGAUGAUUGACCGUGAAUUUAUAAUGAGAGGUGUGGCUUUGCCCACUCUGCCUCCCUGGAUAGCAGGGACAGCCUACUGUAAGCUGAGCUAUGCCCAUGCUAGCACAGCACACUCAGAGAGGUCCACAGAGCUAUGGUCUACAGCGGGUUUACACUGAGCCAUCUGUCCUUACUCAGCGUGCAUCUUGAAAAGAACUACGAGGAAGCAUAGGAUAUAAGCCACUCCUGCAGAAAUAUCGAGCUGUCACUGGUCCACUGGUACCACUGGUCCUAUUGGACUUUACAGCAUACAGCUGUGGAAGACAAAGGAUUUAGUAUCACACUAUCUGGCCUCACACACAAGAGGAUGGGGUCCAUGUUGAGUCUGGUUCCUCUCAAGGUUUCUUCCUCAGGUACUCUCAGAGAAAUUUUCUCUAACUCGUUCAUUAUGGACCGAAAUACAGAAAACUGCCACUGAAAUAAAAGAACAACACUACAGGAGGUGGAGUUUCACAGUAACAGGGUUGUGUUUCAGUUCAUUCGAGUUACAGGAA